UAACUUCCCUAAGUAGUAUAACUUAUUGUCUGCUUUAUAUUUUAGUAUUCAUGCUGCUAGAGAGGACAGGUCACUUGGAAGACUAAUAAAUGAUAAUGAAGUGAGCCUAAACAUAAAAAUGACCAUUACCAGAGUGAAUGGAGAACCCCAUGUCUGUUUAUUUGAAAUCAAGGAUAUUGCUCCUGGGGAAGAAAUCACCUAUAAUUAUGGUGACUCCGAAUGGCCAUGGAGAAUCAAGUCAUCUCAGAAAUCCAAAGAAAAGCUAAGUCCAUCUGCAGAAGAGAAUCCAUCCAGGUCCUCUCCAGAAGACACACCUCAGCAAUCCAAAGUAAAGCCAAGUCCAUCUGCAGAAGAGAAUCCAUCCAGGUCCUCUCCAGAAGACACAAAUAAG